AUUGAACGCUGGCGGCAUGCCUUACACAUGCAAGUCGAACGGCAGCACGGGAGCAAUCCUGGUGGCGAGUGGCGAACGGGUGAGUAAUAUAUCGGAACGUGCCCAGUCGUGGGGAUAACGUAGCGAAAGCUACGCUAAUACCGCAUACGAUCUAUGGAUGAAAGCGGGGGAUCGCAAGACCUCGCGCGAUUGGAGCGGCCGAUAUCAGAUUAGGUAGUUGGUGAGGUAAAGGCUCACCAAGCCGACGAUCUGUAGCUGGUCUGAGAGGACGACCAGCCACACUGGGACUGAGACACGGCCCAGACUCCUACGGGAGGCAGCAGUGGGGAAUUUUGGACAAUGGGCGCAAGCCUGAUCCAGCAAUGCCGCGUGCAGGAUGAAGGCCUUGG
rnacentral:rRNA from 1 species